AACUGUGGGGUACUAUGCAAUGGAAAAGAGCCAUAAAUGAUGGUCGUGGCUGGAGAAGCCGGCUGUCUUUUGAUUAAGCCUGGAAGACGCCUAGUAAGAAAACCUGGCAUUUAAGAAAUGGGUUUUGGUCUGGAGGGGCGUGGGGGCAGUCUGGACCUCGCAGAGAGGAGUUUGCACAGACGUAGCUGCAAUUAAAUGUCAUCAUAAUGCCCUCUCAGUUUUUAAUGUCCACAUCGCUGCCCUUUUAAUAAUGCUAAGAGCUUCGCUGACUCCAGGGAAAUAAAGCUCCAUAUAAGGAAGAAGAAACUCAAAUCUCAAAAUAGACCUCAAACAAUGACCAAAAACCCAACAUCUUCAAGAAAGGUCUCCAGAGAAUAGUUUUAACCACAGGUUUAAGAAGUUUAUAGAGGCUUCUGGACUUUUAGGAGAUUUUGUAAGCAAUCUUCUCAUUGGAAGCGGCCAUUCGAGCAUACCCUGUUCUGGACGCAACAUCAAUCAAAUAUCUGUAUUAAUCCUCUUUGACUGUAAUGUCCAGUCAGAUGGAUACAGUUACAAAGUAAAUUCAACCAGAGCUACUAAGUCAACUGAAGCAAAUGUGACCCAUUCGGUGAAAACCUGACCCAACGUUUUUCUACAUAAAAGACAUUCUUUGAAAAUAUAAUAUAAAUGUGUAAGGUCAUGUCAAAGAUCAAAAACAUUGUAAAAUCAGACUUUAACGUGGAUUUCACAGACAGGGUCACAAAUAUGCACAAUUAAAAUGUGUAUGUUUUGCAAUCAUUAAUUCAGAAGCUGUAUUAAGAAAGACGCUGAUGUAAUUCCACUACAGUUUAAUGUAAUAUCAAGGUUGUUUUUUUAAUCGAUAAGGGGGAGUGACUGUGCAUGUGCUGGAAGAGUUAUUCCAUUAGAGACAAUGUUUAGCAUGCUAUUCAUAUCUGAGGAUACAUCUGUGACCGAAUAAAAGAUGGGAGAAAUAAUGAGAGCGAUCAGAGCCCUCCUACGCAUCUCGUUCCCCUCCUCAUAUACUCCACCCCUUCAUUUGUCCUACCAUAAACUUCUGAACUCACAUCCCUGACAGAUCCUUCUCUUCCCAACUGUAAAAUCAAAGCAGCAGGAUUGAACCUCAGUACUUUGGCUGAAGUUUCAGCUCUUUCCACGGCUAAAGUGGAGACAUCACGGCGCAAUGUAACCUGCUCGUCCUCCUAUCCUCCAAAAUCCAGGACCCAACGACUGCACAACCACAUAUCAACCUACACCCGAAUUCUCCAAGCCAGUCAAGUCUUCACCUGCUCAGUAUGGAUCUGACCACUAACCGAGGACUAAACCUGCUGCUCAACUUUCUGCUCAUCGUUGUGGCUCUACUGCUCAUGCUCAUUCUGGUCAAGCUCAUGUGACCCAGUCAUGUGAUCGCCAAAAUAAUCAGGAUUUAGAAUAACGGUGCAUUCACACGGGGCGAAAGCGUUAACGUCUGAAACAUGGCCAACAGCCAAUCACAGUGCUCCGGUCUUGCAUAAACGUAACUGGCUGGCUCGCACUAGGUUAUUUGCAUAAGGCGAUCUGAUUGACUGAUGCACGCUUUGGCGCUUGAAAAGUUGAGAAGUGUUCAUCUUCUGGUGCGUUGACGGAUCCACAAUUCAGUUCAGCAACGCAUUACGUCACCCAUUAAAAAUAAAUAAUGAGAAGCGUUAACGCUUACGCCCCGUGUGAAUGUACCGUAAGGGCAGCUGAGGUGUUUUAUAUUAUCUUUCUUAAACCAAUUGAAAUAUGCUGUAAACAAUAUGAUCCAUUGGGCAAUCUCUCUCUGUCCACCCUCCCUCUCUCCCCAAAGCCCGUCCACUAAUAAGGGUGAUGCAAAAUGAUUGACAGGCAGAGAGUGUUUCUAUCUAUGUAGUUUCUGGCUAGAACAUGUUUCGAGACAGGUGUGAUUUGUCAGGACACCUAUUUCAUUGAUGUCUGUCAGGUUAUAUUAUAAAAAAGAUUGCUUACAGCACUUUACACAUGCUCAGCAUUUUCUAGUAGCUUACUGAAGUGCUACAAUAAAUAAUAAUAAAGAAGCAAAAGCCGAUAAGCUCAUCUAUAUAAAAUAUAUUGCAGUUGAACCGAGACCGACAGCAUAUUACUGCUUCCUAUAUCAUUGCACCCUCUAGUGGCCACUGACUGAUACUGAUAUAAAAACAACAUAAGCAGGAUUAAGCAAAAAUAUAAAUAUAAAAAAAAACUUGGGAAUAAAAACCUAGUAGACAUUUUUGCUCAAAUCACCUAACACACCAAAUUAAACGUUUAAACUAACCCACAUAAAAACACUACAGCAUAAACAAUGACAUUUACUAUAGUAAACAAAAUUUGGUUACACCUUAUUUUUGCAGUGUCCUUGUUAAAGUGUAAUAAUGAUUAAGAACAUGCCCUUACUAUAGUGUUAAGGUUCGAUUUAGGGUAAGUUGCAUUAAAUUGUGCACAAGUCACAUAAUAUUAAAUACAAUUGCUAGAAGCUAUAGUGUUUUGAACUUUAAUAUAGGAAAUAAUAUAGUAUACUAUAGUAAUUAAACUAUAUUAUAUUAUACUACAGUUUACCAUAGUUAAUACAAUAAUAUACUAUACAGGGUUCCCACACCUUCAAAUUCAAGGACCUUUCAAGGACUUUCCAGGUCCAAUACCCUCAAAUUCAAGGACUAAAUGUGGGGACACAUUUCAAGUGAGAGCAAGGUUACAUCGUGUUACUUUUUAAGAUACAUUGUUACUGUUCCUUUCGAGGGAACUCGCGGUGACACUUUGGGGACGCCUCCAAGGAUAAGUGCGUCUGAAUGUGUAUAUCAAAUUCAACCAAUGGUGAGGCUUAACGACAAAGACAGGGUGACGCGGGAGCCAAGAAGUAUAUCGCUAUCUGAAAUAUGUCCAAAGACAGCGUUACAGGGAUGCAGGAAGUAUGGCAAGGAAGACACAGCGUCUCGUUCCCUUCUCAGGGAACAACAGUUACAUACGUAACCCGAGACGUUUUCAUGUGUCAAACACAACUAUGCAAAAAAGCAUUUUGGUAUGAAUCAACAUUCACAUACAGAAGAUAAAAGCAUUUAAAGCGAACAGUUUAGCACGUGUGCCUAAAAGGCUUGAAAUUUUAUAUUAUCCUACAUUACAUACACAGGGAAAAAAAGGAUUUUUUUCCAGAAAACUUCUUGCAUAAAAUAGAUUCAAGCACUUUCAAUCAUCUGUAUCUAUGUAUGUAUAUUUUCAAAAACUUCCCAGGGCCUUGAAUUUUUUUACCCCAGAUUCAAAAACUUUCAAGAAUUUCAAGGACCCGUGGGAACCCUGACUAUGGUAUUUUUCAUCUGCCAUCUAUUCAGUGUUAAUUUUGCGUGAUAAAACGUGUUGAUAUGCGCUCCUUAUAAAUAAUAAACAGAGGAAUUGUAUUAAUAGUUUAAAAAAAAACACUGGUUUGGCUAUAAAUAUCUAUAUUAUAAUAGCCAUAGUUGUAAUCAUCAUAUAUUAUUCACAAUCACAAAGUGUAGUAAAUAUACAAAGACUGAGACUG